UACGGGGGGGGUAAGCGUUGUUCGGAAUUACUGGGCGUAAAGGGCUCGUAGGCGGCCAACUAAGUCAUACGUGAAAUCCCUCAGCUUAACUGGGGAACUGCGUGUGAUACUGGAUGGCUUGGAUUUGGGAGAGGGAUGCGGAAUUCCAGGUGUAGCGGUGAAAUGCGUAGAUAUCGGGAAGAACACCCGUGGCGAAGGCGGUUCUCUGGGACGGUACUGACGCUGAGGUGCGAAAGCGUGGGGAGCAAACAGG
rnacentral:rRNA from 1 species